rnacentral:rRNA from 1 species
AACGAACGCUGGCGGCAGGCCUAACACAUGCAAGUCGAGCGCCCCGCAAGGGGAGCGGCGGACGGGUGAGUAACGCGUGGGAAUAUGCCCUUUGCUACGGAAUAGUCUCGGGAAACUGGGGGUAAUACCGUAUACGCCCUUUGGGGGAAAGAUUUAUCGGCGAAGGAUUAGCCCGCGUUGGAUUAGGUAGUUGGUGGGGUAAUGGCCUACCAAGCCGACGAUCCAUAGCUGGUUUGAGAGGAUGAUCAGCCACACUGGGACUGAGACACGGCCCAGACUCCUACGGGAGGCAGCAGUGGGGAAUCUUAGACAAUGGGGGCAACCCUGAUCUAGCCAUGCUGCGUGAGUGAUGGAGGCCUUAGGGUUGUAAAGCUCUUUCAGCUGGGAAGAUAAUGACGGUACCAGCAGAAGAAGCCCCGGCUAACUCCGUG